ensembl:lncRNA
UUACAAUACACAAAAUGACCACUAGAUGACAUCCCAACUCCAUUUUCUAAUUUGAAAACUUAACACAUUGUAACUUAUGAAUGAUUUGGACUACUGGCCUAGCACGAUUUUUACAGAGGGGGCCAAAGUAAAUAUGCUGUUCAGGGGGCCCAUAAACCAUAGCAGUGCCUCUGAGUAGAACUUGAGUAGACUGGUAGGAUUAGGGUUAGAAUAAGUUGACAUACUUGCAAAGUUACUUAUAGUCAGUAGAAUAUCUGUUGGGAGACCAUCACAAUAAAGAGUUAGCAGAUAUUAAUCAAACAGUCUACUAAUACUCUUAUUGUCAACAGAAUGCUCAAAAGGGACUAUCAAAAUAAAGUGUUACCAAAGACACUUAGGAAUAUAGGCUACUGCUGAAGGGAAAGCAAGUAUCAAUAAGUGACAUUAAAGUCAUAUAAGCUAAAGUUUAUUGUAAAGUAAAUGUAAUGUAAACGUCACAGAUGCAGGCCUUAAGCAAAGGCACCUAAAGUCACUGAUGUCAGCGAUGUUAUCUGUUCAGUCACUAGAGGGAGCUACAGUUGUGUCAUCUGCUUUAGCUGAUCAUACUACAGACUUAUAUAGAGUUGUACAGCAGGUAUAGCAAUAUAUAUUAGCAGGUCUACAGUUAUUACCUAAAGAUAAUGACGAAUUACACUAAUGACCCUUGACGCUUUAAAUAGUAUGACGUAACACAUCCUCCUUCACAGAAAUCACGUGAUUUGGAGGGUUUGACGAGAGCUCAUGAAAACUGAUCGCUGCUGUCUUCCAGUUUGGAUGCGGCCAAAGCGCGACAUUAUUAUGAGGAACCACUCUUUCCUUUUUUGGGGUUUUAUUACUCGUGAACGAACUUCCGCUGUCUCCCCAGGAGGAUGGUGGUUUUCUAAUUUUAUCAAUAAAGCUUUUACAAUCCUUUCCGAGAACUAAUGUUAAUGGAUUGAGCCUUACUACCUGUGUUAGUCCUUAACAUGCUGACUCACCCAAAGCUUAAUACUUUAACAACUUUAUGCAGUUUCCUAAGCUUUUAGACCUAUUGUUCAAUGCAGAACUCAGUUUCUUUUCAAUUACAUUAACAUGAAUAUUUACCCUCUCAUCUAGACUGGGUCAUAGGAUCUCUAGAGUACAGAAGACGAGGCUGAGUAGCUGUGUCUCAUUUAGAAGGCUGGGUCCUCCGGAGGUCGCAUUUUAAGGCUGCAUACAUCAUCGGGGAAGUCUCAUUUAAGAAAAGUAACCGUUAAAUUGCAAAGUAAAAAAAUAAAUUAUAGUUUUUAAACCUCA